CUAAGCACACACACUCAUUCUGACAGGGGCUAUUAAACUGCACACCUGGCCAGCCACAGCUGUUUGUGAGGGAGCCAAAACAAAGCCUGAUGGAGGCACACAGCUAUGAAGGGCACAGGCUCAGCUCUCAGGCACCUUCUCUCCAUGGACAUGCAGCUCUGCUGGGCAAUGCAGCCCUGGCAGCUGCAGGAGAAUCCCCCUAAACUGGUAAAGGGAAGGUGUGCCUUCAGAAUCAUCUCCAGCUCAAAGGAAGAGGGCCAGACUUGAACUUCACAGUGUUGCACUUGUAUCUUUUUGAGAAAACAGAUCUGAGUUUGGUUCCCUGCUAUUCCUCAGGUUAUUCCUCAGCAGCAUGGCAUCAGCAUGUGGCCCAAUACAGGUCAGAAGAAACUCUGGCACAUACUUAAAAAAAGAUGCCCUAAAGACUGGAACGUGCUUUGUCUUAUCAUUCAUUCCAGAUACAUAGAUAAAACUGAAAAAAUAUAGCCAAGUCCUGAAUCCCAGCAUGGAGAGAAGCUUACUUCACUUCCUCUCACAUGUUGUAGAAUAUCCAUGGCAGGGGCUGAUGCAGGGACCCCCAGCUGCUCCCAGCAGGGUCACUGAGUACCAGGAGCCUCCCGGCUGCUAUAGGACAGGGCUCCUUUCUGUGCAUUGUCUCUGCUCCAGAGCUGCUCCCACCACCCAAGCUGGUUUGGGAAUCAACU